UUGCGAAUAAUAGAAGAGAAAACUGCAAGAAGGACCGUUUGGUUAGAUAUAAUUAUAAACACAGUAUAAUUAUAUGGAGUGAGGCUACUAUGCUAUCGGCCUUCUGUGCUUUCAGUUCAUUUUCGAUGUUGCGAUUUUCGAAUCGUCGAUCGGCUCCGUUAAACUUGAUCUAGAGUAUUUGAAGUACCUAGAAAAUAAAUUUUAUGAUUUUACGAUAUCAUUUGCCUAGUGAAUGAAGGGGCUUAAAAUCAACAGCUGAAAAUAAAAAUCUUACAAAAUGUGAUAAUAUGACAUUAAAAUUUUAAAUCAAAGAUAUUGAUCUUGUUUUAUAUAGUAUAAAGAAUUUUCUAUCAAAAUUUCACAUGAUUUGGAUAUUUCUACACCGUUAAACUUGCAAAGGGCUCACUACGACCAUUGAAAUUUGUUGAUUUUGAGCCUAUUCGAUCACUAGGCAAAUGAUAUCGAAAAAUAAUAAAAUUUAUUUUCUAGCUACUUCAAAUACUCUAGAUCAAGUUUAACGGAGCCGAUCGACGAUUCGAAAGUCGCAACAUCGAAAACGAGCUGGAAGCACGGAAGGCUCCGUGCUUCCGAUAGUAUAGUAGCCUCACUCUAAUUAUAUGUAUUUUAUUUAAUUUGGAUAUAGCAAAAGUGCUGCAACCAUAGAUAAUUUAUUUGAUUUGCAUGUAACUGAGAAGUGUAUGUAUAAAAUUUUACAUGUUUGCAUAUAUGGAUUGAUGAGUUUACAUAUCCACUUUGUGGGGUUAAAAAAAAGAAGAAGAUGGAAUUUCUGCUUGAAAAGGUAUUAAAAUUAUUCUCUCCGACUGCUACAAUCGAGUCGGUCUUCUCAUGUAAUUUCAUCUGUAGCAAAUAAAUUCAAAUACAUCAAACCGAAUAGAAAAUUAGGAUCUACAUGCAUCUACAUUUUACAAUAUAAUUAUGACUACGUGCGACUAAAUAGCUAAAACAGCAGGAGUACUCCGUUCCUCACAGUAGAAAAGUUGUUCAAAAAGCGACGUACGUUGGUUAAACCUUUUAAAAAGAAAUAAGAUGU
rnacentral:lncRNA from 1 species